CCUACGGGAGGCAGCAGUGAGGAAUAUUGGUCAAUGGACGAGAGUCUGAACCAGCCAAGUAGCGUGAAGGAUGACUGCCCUAUGGGUUGUAAACUUCUUUUAUAUGGGAAUAAAAUGUUCCACGUGUGGGAUUUUGUAUGUCCCAUAUGAAUAAGGAUCGGCUAACUCCGUGCCAGCAGCCGCGGUAAUACGGAGGUUCCGAGCGUUAUCCGGAUUUAUUGGGUUUAAAGGGAGCGUAGGUGGAUUGUUAAGUCAGUUGUGAAAGUUUGCGGCUCAACCGUAAAAUUGCAGUUGAAACUGGCAGUCUUGAGUACAGUAGAGGUGAGCGGAAUUCGUGGUGUAGCGGUGAAAUGCUUAGAUAUCACGAAGAACUCCGAUUGCGAAGGCAGUUCACUGGACUGCAACUGACACUGAGGCUCGAAAGUGUGGGUAUCAAACAGGAUUAGAUACCCGAGUAGU
rnacentral:rRNA from 1 species